rnacentral:rRNA from 1 species
CCUACGGGAGGCAGCAGUGAGGAAUAUUGGUCAAUGGCCGAGAGGCUGAACCAGCCAAGUCGCGUGAGGGAAGACGGCCCUACGGGUUGUAAACCUCUUUUGUCGGGGAGCAAAGCGAGUCACGUGUGACUCAUUGAGAGUACCCGAAGAAAAAGCAUCGGCUAACUCCGUGCCAGCAGCCGCGGUAAUACGGAGGAUGCGAGCGUUAUCCGGAUUUAUUGGGUUUAAAGGGUGCGCAGGCGGAGGUGCAAGUCAGCGGUCAAAUUGCGGGGCUCAACCCCGUACUGCCGUUGAAACUGCAUCCCUUGAGUGCGCGAGAAGUAUGCGGAAUGCGUGGUGUAGCGGUGAAAUGCAUAGAUAUCACGCAGAACUCCGAUUGCGAAGGCAGCAUACCAAGCUACUUCUGACGUUGAGGCACGAAAGCGUGGGGAGCAAACAGGAUUAGAUACCCCAGUAGUC